rnacentral:rRNA from 1 species
UAGGGAAUCUUCGGCAAUGGACGAAAGUCUGACCGAGCAACGCCGCGUGAGUGAAGAAGGUUUUCGGAUCGUAAAACUCUGUUGUUAGAGAAGAACAAGGACGUUAGUAACUGAACGUCCCCUGACGGUAUCUAACCAGAAAGCCACGGCUAACUACGUGCCAGCAGCCGCGGUAAUACGUAGGUGGCAAGCGUUGUCCGGAUCUAUUGGGCGUAAAGCGAGCGCAGGCGGUUUCUUAAGUCUGAUGUGAAAGCCCCCGGCUCAACCGGGGAGGGUCAUUAGAAACUGGGAGACUUGAGUGCAGAAGAGGAGAGUGGAAUUCCAUGUGUAGCGGUGAAAUGCGUAGAUAUAUGGAGGAACACCAGUGGCGAAGGCGGCUCUCUAGUCUGUAACUGACGCUGAGGCUCGAAAGCGUGGGGAGCAAACAGG